rnacentral:misc_RNA from 1 species
AAUGGCUUCCACCCUCUACGGCCACCUUGCUACCCCUACUCUUCCCUCUCGCAAGCUAUCUUCCUUGUCAUGCCCAACCAUGUUCCAUUCGGCACUUUCCUUUUCCAUCGCCACUACUAAAGCCAAACAUGGUUCCGUACCUAAGGUGGUGUGCAAUGCUCAGAGUGCUCCGGCGGCACUCAAUUUAGCUCCGGGAACACCUGUGAGGCCGACUAGUAUACUAGUUGUGGGGGCCACCGGCACAUUGGGGAGGCAGGUAGUGAGGAGAGCAUUGGACGAGGGCUACGACGUCAGAUGUCUUGUAAGGCCUAGGCCUGCUCCUGCCGAUUUUCUUCGUGAUUGGGGCGCUACGGUUGUCAAUGCAGAUUUAAGCAAACCUGAAACAAUUCCAGCAACAUUGGUUGGAGUCCAUACAGUUAUUGAUUGUGCUACUGGACGCCCUGAGGAGCCUAUAAAAACUGUAGAUUGGGAAGGAAAAGUGGCUCUUAUACAAUGUGCAAAAGCCAUGGGCAUUCAAAAAUUUAUAUUUUUCUCUAUUCACAACUGCGACAAGCAUCCUGAAGUUCCUCUGAUGGAGAUCAAACACUGUACAGAGAAGUUUCUCCGCGAUUCAGGCCUGAACCACGUUGUAAUUCGGUUAUGUGGCUUCAUGCAGGGCCUUAUUGGUCAAUAUGCAGUGCCUAUAUUAGAAGAGAAAUCUGUAUGGGGAACCGAUGCUCCCACUCGAAUAGCAUACAUGGACACCCAAGAUAUUGCUCGGUUGACAUUCAUAGCUUUACGCAAUGAGAAUAUUAAUGGGAAGCUUCUCACUUUUGCUGGGCCUCGGGCAUGGACAACCCAAGAGGUGAUAACAUUGUGCGAGAGACUUGCUGGUCAAGAUGCCAAUGUGACUACAGUGCCUGUCUCAGUUUUGCGAUUUACACGUCAGCUGACUCGGUUGUUUGAGUGGACGAAUGAUGUUGCUGAUAGAUUGGCAUUUUCAGAGGUUUUGACAAGCGAUACUGUGUUCUCAGUUCCUAUGGCAGAGACAUAUAACCUUCUGGGUGUGGAUGCAAAAGACGUCAGUUCACUGGAGAAAUAUCUGCAGGAUUAUUUCACCAAUAUACUGAAGAAGUUGAAAGACCUUAAGGCUCAAUCGAAGCAAACUGAUAUUUUCUUUUGAAAAAAGUACUACUUUUCUUUUUUAUGUUGUUGUAUUUUGGAAUUUCCUAGUUAUAAUGUAAAGAAGAUAAAGAAAGAAUAUGACUAACUUUGAUUCAAAU